rfam:Trypanosoma theileri isolate Edinburgh TM35_Tth_9_V1, whole genome shotgun sequence.
GGCAAGAUGGCCGAGUGGUCUAAGGCGGGAGACUCAAGUUCUCUUCUCUUCGGAGGCGUGGGUUCGAACCCCACUCUUGUCA